UAUAUUAUUCACAUAAAAUCCAGUGUCCAUUUGUCUAUAUUAUUCACAUAUAAUACAGUAUGAAAAGUACAUGAUAUUGUUAUAGCAUUGUCUAUCCUUUCAUGUGACAAGCUAUUUACCGAAAAAGGCUUUCGCCCCGCUUUAUAUUAUAAAGCAAAUCGCCCAAGCCAAGCAUCCAAAUCCAAACACGGUUCAACACGACACACACACGCACAUGAAGGUCCACAGGAUCAGACAGAUCACACAAGGGUUAAUGCUGAGGGCACAACCAACAAACCCUAAACACAAAACGCACACUCCACACAUCACCCGCAUAGCAUCUAGUCAGGUUCUGGGGGAGGAGGUGGCAGCAGUCGCGCCACGCGGAGAGCCAUCGAGCGAAGGUCGGCGAGGAGGUUGGUGAUGACGUCCCGGUCCUGGGGGGCGGCUAAGCGGCCGCCAGAGCUGCAAGUAGCCACACAUUUUAAAGAUCGCGUCAGUCGAGCGUCGGAGAGGGACUUCUGAAUAACAAGCUUAUUGCAGAUGGUCCAAAGCGUCCUGGCGAGGACCCCAACGCACAGCCAUCUAAUAUGGCGGAAGCGAGGAGGGGAAGCGUUAAGCUCCGCAAGUAGGUCGGGGAAGUUGGUGUUGCACCACUGUCCAUCGACCGUCUCGCGAAAGCAAGCCCACAGGAACUGGGCAGAGUAGCAUGAGAAGAAGAUGUGGUUAGCAUCCUCGAUCGUGCCACAGAUGGGGCAAAUCUCAUCGCCCGGACCAUUACGCUUGAGGACUUCCACCCCAGAGGGGAGUCGUCCGCGGAUCCAUUGCCAUAAGAAAAUCCUGAUCUUCAGAGGGAGGCGAAUGUCCCAGAGCAGGUAAAGGGCUCCGGUGCCACCGAGGGGGCGAUGGCGGCAUACAAGGACUUCGUGGAGAAGCGGCCAGACGGCUCAAGGCGCCAGGAGAGGGAGUACGUGGUCUCCUCGACGUCCAUCGGCGUAAGGGCGAUGUCUUGGAGGAGGGAAUCCCAAGCAGCCACCUCGAGGGGGCCGAAGGGGCGCCGGAAAGCAAGAUGCCCUAAGUCAAUAAGGGCCGUCUCGACCGAGACCCGAGGGUCAACCAUGAUGGCGAAUAGUUUUGGGAAUCGCGCGGCCAGGGGGGAGUCCCCUAACCAAUAGUUGAACCAGAACAGGGUCGAGGACCCGGAUCCAACCGAUAUGGACGUGCCAAUGCGGAGCACGGGCAUAAGCUGGAUCACCGACUGCCAGAACUAGGAGCCACCCGAACGCUGGUAGAAGGCAAGAGGUUGGCCCCUAAGGUACUUAUUGCGGAUGAUGGUAAGCCAGAGACCUCCCUCCCCAUUGGCGAUGCGCCAAAGCCAUCGGGUCAGGAGAGAAUGUUCAUGCGACGAGAUGACAAGAUCCCAAAGCCACCCUGAUUUGGGUUUGCAGAUGUAUCCAUAUAAUAUAUAUCAUACUAUGAAAUAGGUAGUGAACGGUAUUGUCUAUUAAAACUGAUUACUUCUGACUUGGAAGAGGAUAAGAAUAUAGACCAGUGUAUUAUUUUUGUCUUAUUGGUGCUUACUUCCAAGUCCAAUAAGGCACUGUAAGAAAUGUACAAGUAGCUAACAAACCAAAAAUAAUAUCUGACCAAACCAUCGAUAUGGAUAACUCAGGACAAACAAUUCAAUUUAAAAUGGCGCGUCUAGCUAAACAGGUAAGAAAUACAAAUUUCAUAAUGCAUAAUCUUGAUGCGCAAUAUUACAUUGUUAGGGUAGAGAACUAUCAUGUUACAUCGGUGUGAGCUUCCGAAAAGAAGGAACAAUGAAGAUCUCCACAAACUUGACAUCUCAACACUUCAAAGGAAAACAAGACACCCAAUACAAUGUCAUGAAACCAAGGUAAGUCAGUUUCUGAAUAGAAAAAUAAUUAAAACCUAAAUAAUAAUUUGGUUUUAAACUAAAGCUUACCAUGAUCUUAGUCAAGAACAUCAAGUUGAUAAAACAACUACUUACAAACAGGGCAGGACUAAUCCUCUAAUUUUAUUGUGGAUGAAAUAAAUGCUCGUUGAUAGUACUGUCAUCAACUGAAACAACUCCUGAAGGUCCCUUUUUGCCAUCUUCGAGCUUUCUGUCCCCAUAUUGUCCAUAUUCUGUAUAGCUUUAAACUGAUUGUUUUUACACACAAAUGAGGACAACACGUUUUGCCUGAUAAAACAGAUCAAACCAAGUUGUAACUGAAUUUGUAAUCGUGAAAAAACAUGAAGAAUUAGGGGGAAGAGUGUCAGCUUGACAUGAACAUGGAGUCGAUAGAUGCCUGAUGCAACAGAUCAAGCUAAAAAAGGCUUUGAGAACCAAUCUAUAGUAUUGACCUUGCAUAGUAUGUAAUUUGUUUUUGAUAUCAUAAAGCAAAAAAUACAUACAUACAUGUACAUUAUCGCCGUUCUCCUACUCGUCCUCCUGAUUUCUUCUCCUCACAUACCUGAAUGAUGCUGAGUCGAAGCGAGUAUGCUGUCUUGGACAACAGCGUGCCUGAGACACAGAUUUAGUCGGCCUGCAUGCGGCAAGCAUGCUGACAAGCUGCCCUGAGCGGCGUCGCCCGAGGUAAGAUCGUGCAAGGUCCCUGUUCUUGAGGAUCAAGACUGGGGGAGACCUAACGAUAAGGACAAUAGAUUGCAACUGGCUAGCCUCCACCUUUUCCC
rnacentral:lncRNA from 1 species